GUCUACGGCCAUGCUACCCUGAACAAUCCCGAUCCUGUCUGAUCUCGGAAGCUAAGUAGAGUAAGACCUGGUUAGUACUUGGAUGGGAGACCAUCUAGGAAGACGAGGUGCUACAGGCG
rnacentral:rRNA from 1 species